rnacentral:rRNA from 1 species
GCGAUGCCGCGUGAGUGAAGAAGGCCUUUGGGUUGUAAAGCUCUUUCNUCGGGGAAGAAAAUGACUGUACCCGAAUAAGAAGGUCCGGCUAACUUCGUGCCAGCAGCCGCGGUAAUACGAAGGGACCUAGCGUAGUUCGGAAUUACUGGGCUUAAAGAGUUCGUAGGUGGUUGAAAAAGUUGGUGGUGAAAUCCCAGAGCUUAACUCUGGAACUGCCAUCAAAACUUUUCAGCUAGAGUAUGAUAGAGGAAAGCAGAAUUUCUAGUGUAGAGGUGAAAUUCGUAGAUAUUAGAAAGAAUACCAAUUGCGAAGGCAGCUUUCUGGAUCAUUACUGACACUGAGGAACGAAAGCAUGGGUAGCGAAGAGGAUUAGAUACCCUCGUAGUCCAUGCCGUAAACGAUGUGUGUUAGACGUUGGAAAUUUAUUUUCAGUGUCGCAGGGAAACCGAUAAACACACCGCCUGGGGAGUACGACCGCAAGGUUAAAACUCAAAUGAAUUGACGGGGACCCGCACAAGUAGUGGAGCAUGUGGUUUAAUUCGAAGAUACGCGCAGAACCUUACCAACACUUGACAUGUUCGUCGCGACUCUAAGAGAUUAGAGUUUUCGGUUCGGCCGGACGAAACACAGGUGCUGCAUGGCUGUCGUCAGCUCGUGUCGUGAGAUGUUGGGUUAAGUCCCGCAACGAGCGCAACCCUCACUUUUAGUUGCCAUCAUUAAGUUGGGCACUCUGAAAGAACUGCCAGUGAUAAGCUGGAGGAAGGUGGGGAUGACGUC